AUCAGGGAAGAAUAAGCAUUGGUUAACUGCCAGUGCCUUGACGGUACCUGACCAGAAAGCCACGGCUAACUACGUGCCAGCAGCCGCGGUAAUACGUAGGUGGCAAGCGUUGUCCGGAAUUAUUGGGCGUAAAGCGCGCGCAGGCGGCUUCUUAAGUCUGAUGUGAAAGCCCACGGCUCAACCGUGGAGGGUCAUUGGAAACUGGGAGGCUUGAGUGCAGAAGAGAAGAGCGGAAUUCCACGUGUAGCGGUGAAAUGCGUAGAGA
rnacentral:rRNA from 1 species